UACGUAGGCAGCAAGCGUUGUUCGGAGUUACUGGGCGUAAAGGGUGUGUAGGCGGUUCUUUAAGUUUGGUGUGAAAUCUCCCGGCUCAACUGGGAGGUGCGCCGAAUACUGAGGGACUAGAGUACGGGAGAGGAAAGUGGGAAUUCCUGGUGUAGCGGUGAAAUGCGUAGAUAUCAGGAGGAACACCGGUGGUGUAGACGGCUUUCUGGACCGACACUGACGCUGAGACACGAAAGCGUGGGGAGCGAACAGG
rnacentral:rRNA from 1 species